CAGUAGCCGCGGUAAAACGUAGGUGGCAAGCGUUGUCCGGAAUUAUUGGGCGUAAAGGGCUCGCAGGCGGUUUCUUAAGUCUGAUGUGAAAGCCCCCGGCUCAACCGGGGAGGGUCAUUGGAAACUGGGAAACUUGAGUGCAGAAGAGGAGAGUGGAAUUCCACGUGUAACGGUGAAAUGCGUAGAGAUGUGGAGGAACACCAGUGGCGAAGGCGACUCUCUGGUCUGUAACUGACGCUGAGGAGCGAAAGCGUGGGGAGCGAACAGGAUUAGAUACCCCCGUAGUCCCUGUCUCUUAUAC
rnacentral:rRNA from 1 species